AUUGAACGCUGGCGGCAGGCCUAACACAUGCAAGUCGAGCGGGGUUUUCGGACCUAGCGGCGGACGGGUGAGUAAUGCGUAGGAAGCUACCCGACAGAGGGGGAUACCAGUUGGAAACGACUGUUAAUACCGCAUAAUGUCUACGGACCAAAGUGUGGGACCUUCGGGCCACAUGCUGUCGGAUGCGCCUACGUGGGAUUAGCUAGUUGGUGAGGUAAUGGCUCACCAAGGCGACGAUCCCUAGCUGGUUUGAGAGGAUGAUCAGCCACACUGGAACUGAGACACGGUCCAGACUCCUACGGGAGGCAGCAGUGGGGAAUAUUGGACAAUGGGCGGCAAGCCUGAUCCAGCCAUGCCGCGUGUGUGAAGAAGGCCU
rnacentral:rRNA from 1 species